rnacentral:lncRNA from 1 species
UCACACCGCCCGCCCCGUCUCCAUAGCAACUAGAGCCGCUUGGCCUGGGUGAUAAGGCCCGCCCACCCAUCCUCGCGGGGGCCGGUUCCAGGUAGGAGCUGAACCUGCCUCGGCUCCCUGGACUUUGAGAAACGGAGGCUCGACCCGAGGUUUGGAUCCUCUAGUCAGCUUUCCCCCGCCCACAUUCUAAACCAACCACCACUUGCUCUGGGCCAGGGACUUGCACCCAUCCUCUCUAGCUUCACACACGCUUACGUCUCCCCAUUAGGCGAUGAGAAUACGGCUGAGAGAUUGACUUGCCAACUCCCCCCGCCCCUACCCCCGCACCUACCCAUAAAAGUCAAGCUGGAAUUCCUACCCAGGUCUAUCUCGCGUCAAAGCCAAUGAAUGCUCUUUUCCGUGGGUCCCCAAAGAUCCCACUUUAAUAUGGACUUGGGAUUUGGGGUCCCGUGCGCUACUGCGGAGCCACCAAAAUCCGGCUCGCUGAACUGGCCUGUGGACAAGGAACAGAGAGGCUGGGGGUUGGGGGAGGAGGUUGGCCUACGGGCUCUGUGCCCUGGGGCAGGGAGAAGCCAGGCUAGAGGCUGGCUGUGCAGACAGUAAAGGGCUAAACAGGUUACGCAAUGGGCAGGCUGUCCCCGUAGGUUGGGGGUCAGGUGGGCAUGAUUCUACUCUCCUUUUUCACCAAUUUCAUUUACAGUGUCCCUGCCUGCUUCACCCCGUUUCUGAGUCCCAUCCCGCUCUUUCUGCUUUCCAUCCCCUUUUUCUUUCCUUUCUUCAUCUUUCUUCCCUUGGCUCUGUUUCCCUUUCACCCUCUCCCCCUCCCGGCCCCACCCCCGCAGUUACUGUGGCAACAACUCAAUGCCAGAAAUAAAGGCAGGAUCCAGCUAGGUCACCAGUUUCCAAAACAGCAUCCCAGGGUGGAGAGGGGAAGGGUGGGCCAGAGCAGCCUGGCCCUACAGGGGAGGCCCUGAGGCUGGGGUCUGUGUCUGUGUUUGUGUUUGGGUAGCGCGGGACACCCACAGUCGCCCCUCAAAUCCCCCUACCCUGGGCUGGUGGUUCAUGGAAACAUCCUGGCCAAGCCUGCCUGCACCUUUUAAGACUGUUGGAAUCCCCACUCCCUCCUCUCA